UUUAUGGAGAGUUUGAUCCUGGCUCAGGAUGAACGCUGGCGGCGUGCCUAAUACAUGCAAGUCGAGCGAACGGACGAGAAGCUUGCUUCUCUGAUGUUAGCGGCGGACGGGUGAGUAACACGUGGAUAACCUACCUAUAAGACUGGGAUAACUUCGGGAAACCGGAGCUAAUACCGGAUAAUAUUUUGAACCGCAUGGUUCAAAAGUGAAAGACGGUCUUGCUGUCACUUAUAGAUGGAUCCGCGCUGCAUUAGCUAGUUGGUAAGGUAACGGCUUACCAAGGCAACGAUGCAUAGCCGACCUGAGAGGGUGAUCGGCCACACUGGAACUGAGACACGGUCCAGACUCCUACGGGAGGCAGCAGUAGGGAAUCUUCCGCAAUGGGCGAAAGCCUGACGGAGCAACGCCGCGUGAGUGAUGAAGGUCUUCGGAUCGUAAAACUCUGUUAUUAGGGAAGAACAUAUGUGUAAGUAACUGUGCACAUCUUGACGGUACCUAAUCAGAAAGCCACGGCUAACUACGUGCCAGCAGCCGCGGUAAUACGUAGGUGGCAAGCGUUAUCCGGAAUUAUUGGGCGUAAAGCGCGCGUAGGCGGUUUUUUAAGUCUGAUGUGAAAGCCCACGGCUCAACCGUGGAGGGUCAUUGGAAACUGGAAAACUUGAGUGCAGAAGAGGAAAGUGGAAUUCCAUGUGUAGCGGUGAAAUGCGCAGAGAUAUGGAGGAACACCAGUGGCGAAGGCGACUUUCUGGUCUGUAACUGACGCUGAUGUGCGAAAGCGUGGGGAUCAAACAGGAUUAGAUACCCUGGUAGUCCACGCCGUAAACGAUGAGUGCUAAGUGUUAGGGGGUUUCCGCCCCUUAGUGCUGCAGCUAACGCAUUAAGCACUCCGCCUGGGGAGUACGACCGCAAGGUUGAAACUCAAAGGAAUUGACGGGGACCCGCACAAGCGGUGGAGCAUGUGGUUUAAUUCGAAGCAACGCGAAGAACCUUACCAAAUCUUGACAUCCUUUGACAACUCUAGAGAUAGAGCCUUCCCCUUCGGGGGACAAAGUGACAGGUGGUGCAUGGUUGUCGUCAGCUCGUGUCGUGAGAUGUUGGGUUAAGUCCCGCAACGAGCGCAACCCUUAAGCUUAGUUGCCAUCAUUAAGUUGGGCACUCUAAGUUGACUGCCGGUGACAAACCGGAGGAAGGUGGGGAUGACGUCAAAUCAUCAUGCCCCUUAUGAUUUGGGCUACACACGUGCUACAAUGGACAAUACAAAGGGUAGCGAAACCGCGAGGUCAAGCAAAUCCCA
rnacentral:rRNA from 1 species